AUUGAACGCUGGCGGCAGGCCUAACACAUGCAAGUCGAGCGGAUGAAGGGAGCUUGCUCCUGGAUUCAGCGGCGGACGGGUGAGUAAUGCCUAGGAAUCUGCCUGGUAGUGGGGGAUAACGUCCGGAAACGGGCGCUAAUACCGCAUACGUCCUGAGGGAGAAAGUGGGGGAUCUUCGGACCUCACGCUAUCAGAUGAGCCUAGGUCGGAUUAGCUAGUUGGUGGGGUAAAGGCCUACCAAGGCGACGAUCCGUAACUGGUCUGAGAGGAUGAUCAGUCACACUGGAACUGAGACACGGUCCAGACUCCUACGGGAGGCAGCAGUGGGGAAUAUUGGACAGUGGGCGAAAGCCUGAUCCAGCCAGGCCGCGUGUGUGAAGAAGGUCUUCGGAUUGUAAAGCACUUUAAGUUGGGAGGAAGGGCAGUAAGUUAAUACCUUGCUGUUUUGACGUUACCAACAGAAUAAGCACCGGCUAACUUCGUG
rnacentral:rRNA from 1 species